rnacentral:rRNA from 1 species
GCUGGCGGCAUCUAACACAUGCAGUCGAACGGCAGCACAGCAGAGCUUGCUCUGUGGGUGGCGAGUGGCGGACGGGUGAGUAAUGCAUCGGGACCUACCUAGACGUGGGGGAUAACGUAGGGAAACUUACGCUAAUACCGCAUACGUCCUACGGGAGAAAGCAGGUGACCUUCGGGCCUUGCGCGGUUAGACGGACCGAUGUCGAUUAGCUUGUUGGUGAGGUAAUGGCUCACCAAGGCGACGAUCGAUAGCUGGUCUGAGAGGAUGAUCAGCCACACUGGAACUGAGACACGGUCCAGACUCCUACGGGAGGCAGCAGUGGGGAAUAUUGGACAAUGGGGGCAACCCUGAUCCAGCCAUGCCGCGUGCGGGAAGAAGGCCUUCGGGUUGUAAACCGCUUUUAGCCGGGACGAAAGCGCCACGGAUAACACCCGUGGUGGUUGAA